CAAUCUUUCAGGUGAUGUUCCCAAGAGUGCACCAAAUGAAGAAUCGGUGAAGGGUACAAGCAGCAAAGAUAAUGCCAAUAACUCAACGACCUCUAAUAGCAAUGAUGGGUGUGCUCCACCUUUGGAGAAAGUUGAUUUUGAGUAAUGCACUGUAUAUCAUUUUCACUUGCUCAAGAGAUUGUCGGUACCAGUACUGCACCACUGUGGUGAAAUGCAUGAUUACAAGUGACGUUUGCAUUGUUCAAUAGGCUUUCUAUGAAAUUAUAAUUAAUGGCUUCUCAAGAAGUAGUGGGAUCAACUGAACCCACAAUUUUAACAUGUCACUGACACUGCCCUCAGACAGUUAUACUACACACACAAAUAGUCUUGUUUGAAACUUGGAACUCAUUUUAAUGGUUACUCCAUUUAUAACAUAGAUAGUAGACAAUGUCAGGAAAGCAACAAAAAUACUUCAUUGCUCAUAAUAAUCAUUUUUCAUGGAUUGGUUAGUUCACAUGCUGCAUGUCGGCUACUUGCCAUCUAACUAUACCUUUUUCUUUUCUUACCAUUAAAUAAUAUUUUUUAUCUUUCUUAUCAUUAAAUAAUAGAUAUAGAUCUACUACGUAUCAAGCACUGGUUUGGUUGCUUCAUUCCUUUUUCUUCAUCUCACAGUCUAAUGUCUGAAUAGUGUACUUGUAUAUGGUAGCUUUUACUGCAAAACAGUUACUCUUCUUAGCAGCAGUCCUGUCAUACAAAGUUAGACAGUAAUGUGAACUAAUUUUCUAACUAUUUGAUUUCAAAUGGACCAAUUUGUUUGGUAGAUCAUGUUAUACUACGGAAAUUUUUAAACAUUUCUAUGCCCUCUCAUUAUUUCGUAUCGUUGUUCUUUUAAAGAGUAGUCCAAUAAUGCAAUAGUUGAUGGUUGUGUUUUUCCUUGUGCUGGGUAGUGCUAUAGUCAUUGUUGAUACAUUAGGGCAGAAUUCAAAUGUCAAAGAUUGGGAGGAUGGUAACAUAGCUGGUGAACAAAAUUAUUCUAAUUUUGAUCUUGUCUGAAAAUGCUAGAUACUAAUAUAGAUAGUAGACGAUGCCAGAGAAAGCAAAAGAAAAAGCAAUGCUUUAUUGCUCAUAAUAAGCAUGUUUUAUUGUUCAUACUGUACCUAUUGAUGCACAUGUGAAUGAUGUAUUCUUAUGUCCAUAACCUGUUUGAUUCCAUUUUUGGGAUCAAAUGAUGCAUUUAAAGUGAUUAUUUUCUGUUUAGAUAUAUAUGGAUUGUAUGGAGUUACAUAUGCCUGCUACCUGGGACCAAUGGGUCAGCUAUCGCCACUUUGACACCAACUCGAACUACGAGAACAAGCACUGCCCCAGUGAGGCUGCCACCGACGAUGUGCUCUGGUGCUGUCGCCUCCCGCAACGUCCUAAGCUUUGGUGCAGCGACACUCAACACGACAGGUUUUCCCCGCCCUCAGACAAACGCUCAGUUCAUUUCCAGCAGAUCCCUUUUCAUUGCUGCCAUGCCCCGUGUGUGACCAGAUUUAGCAUGAUAAUGAGAUUAGGCGAAGCCAUCCUCUUGUCCUGGCGCAGCGGCCGGCAUCCCCACGGCACCUAGGUCGCACGGCGUAUAGGAGGAGGGAGAAAGAGCAAGUGGUCCCGCACCGCGGCACGGUGUGGCGAUCAGCGCCUACUCCUGGUGGUGAACGUUAGGUGAAGUGACUCUUGUGAAAGCUAAUAAUGUGCAUCUCUGCCUAGCAACUUAGUGCUGAAUCAGUGAACGGAUAUUUUUGUAGCAUCUUAAUCAAUGGAUGGUUUCUACGUAUGUAUACUACUUCAGUUCAGAACACUAAAGGUAGAGAACAGUUCUAUGCAUGGUAGAAAUGACAUCUGACAUUCAUAUGCCCUACUGUGUUCCAUAGGACCGGGAACAAAAAUCAAGUGUUGUUUCUCAACCUCUUGGGUGUAUUCUGUUCCACCCUUGAAGCACCAUCUCCUCCCAAAACACCAAAAAGAUACAUAAUAUUAUAACAGAGCUCUUCUAUUCAUUAUCCUUUGCCUAUACUUUUUUGUCCGCAAGGUAAAUUCCCUGAUCAUGAUUUCUAUUAAUUCCCUAAUUCAUUUGAUUUUAUUGACCCUCGAAUUAACUGCAUUUAUUGCACAGACCCGCUUGCUCUUGAGUAAGUCAUCAUCUCAGACUUCGUUUGAAUGGGAUUAUGAAGAAGUUACUCUGGACGGUGGUGCUACCACACUCAACAGAUAUGAAUGUACCCUUCUACCCAAAGAUCAAAAGGUGGUCAAUAUUUCAGAUAAUGUUCCCAAGAGUGCACCAAAUGAAGGAUCUAUGAAGGGUACAAGCAGCAAAGAUAAUGCCAGGAACUCAACGACAUCUGAUAGCAAUGAUGGGUGUGCUCCACCUUUGGAGAAAGUUGAUUUUGAGUAAUGCACUGUAUAUCAUUUUCACUUACUCAAGACGGAGUGUCAGUACCAGUACUGCACCACUGUGGGGAAAUGCAUGAUUUCAAGUGA